rnacentral:rRNA from 1 species
UAUAAUGCAGUCGACGCUUUUUCUUUCACCGGAGCUUGCUCCACCGAAAGAAAAGGAGUGGCGAACGGGUGAGUAACACGUGGGUAACCUGCCCAUCAGAAGGGGAUAACACUUGGAAACAGGUGCUAAUACCGUAUAACAAUCGAAACCGCAUGGUUUCGGUUUGAAAGGCGCUUUUGCGUCACUGAUGGAUGGACCCGCGGUGCAUUAGCUAGUUGGUGAGGUAACGGCUCACCAAGGCAACGAUGCAUAGCCGACCUGAGAGGGUGAUCGGCCACAUUGGGACUGAGACACGGCCCAAACUCCUACGGGAGGCAGCAGUAGGGAAUCUUCGGCAAUGGACGCAAGUCUGACCGAGCAACGCCGCGUGAGUGAAGAAGGUUUUCGGAUCGUAAAACUCUGUUGUUAGAGAAGAACAAGGAUGAGAGUAGAAUGUUCAUCCCUUGACGGUAUCUAACCAGAAAGCCACGGCUAACUACGUGCCAGCAGCCGCGGUAAUACGUAGGUGGCAAGCGUUGUCCGGAUUUAUUGGGCGUAAAGCGAGCGCAGGCGGUUUCUUAAGUCUGAUGUGAAAGCCCCCGGCUCAACCGGGGAGGGUCAUUGGAAACUGGGAAACUUGAGUGCAGAAGAGGAGAGUGGAAUUCCAUGUGUAGCGGUGAAAUGCGUAGAUAUAUGGAGGAACACCAGUGGCGAAGGCGGCUCUCUGGUCUGUAACUGACGCUGAGGCUCGAAAGCGUGGGGAGCAAACAGGAUUAGAUACCCUGGUAGUCCACGCCGUAAACGAUGAGUGCUAAGUGUUGGAGGGUUUCCGCCCUUCAGUGCUGCAGCUAACGCAUUAAGCACUCCGCCUGGGGGAGUACGACCGCAAGGUUGAAACUCAAGGAAUUGACGGGGGCCCGCACAAGCGGUGGAGCAUGUGGUUUAAUUCGAAGCAACGCGAAGACCUUACCAGGUCUUGACAUCCUUUGACCACUCUAGAGAUAGAGCUUCCCCUCGGGGGCAAAGUGACAGGGGGUGCAUGCUUGUCGUCAGCUCGUGUCGUGAGAUGUGGGGUAGUCCCGCACGAGGCGCACCCUUAUUGUUAGUGCAUCAUUUAGUGGGUCACUCUAGCGAGACUGCGUGACAACGGGAGGAGGUUGGAUGACGUCAAUCAUCAUGCCCCUUAUGACUGGCUAACGGCUACAUUGAGUCACAAGUUCCGGAAAUUCGC